UACGAAGGGUGCUAGCGUUGCUCGGAAUUACUGGGCGUAAAGCGCACGUAGGCGGCUUUCUAAGUCGGGGGUGAAAUCCUGGAGCUCAACUCCAGAACUGCCUUCGAUACUGGAGAGCUUGAGUCCGGGAGAGGUGAGUGGAACUGCGAGUGUAGAGGUGAAAUUCGUAGAUAUUCGCAAGAACACCAGUGGCGAAGGCGGCGCACUGGCCCGGUACUGACGCUGAGGCGCGAAAGCUAGGGGAGCAAACAGG
rnacentral:rRNA from 1 species